ACCCGCGCUCGGCUCCCUGCUCGGUCGGGCUGGAACCUGUACUGGCAGCCGGAGGUGUAGGUAGGAACCGGAAUACCUCGGAAGCCGGGAAAUGACGGAGUUUCAUUCUUGUUGCCCAGGCUGGAGUGCAAUGGCGCGAUCUCAGCUCACCACAACCUCUGCCUCCCACAUUCAAGCGAUUCUCCUGCCUCAGCCUCCCGAGUAGCUGGGAUUACAGUGUGGUGUGUUGAAUAUUAUAGUUUCAAAAUCCUUCAUGUGUGUUAGGACUCAAUGAUCUUUGAGGAUGUGGCUGUGAACUUUACCCAGGAGGAGUGGGCUUUGCUGGAUCCGUCCCAGAAGAAACUCUACAGAGAUGUGAUGUGGGAAAUCAUCAGGAACCUGAUGUCUGUAGGAAUAAAAUGGGAAGACCGGAACAUUGAAGAUCAGUACAAAAAUUCCAGGAGAAAUCCAAGAAAUCAUAUGGCAGAGAGACUCUGUGAAUGUAAAGAUGGUCAAUGUGGAGAAACUUUCAGCCUGAUUCCAGAUGGUAUAAUGAACAAGAACACUCUUCCUGGGGUAAAACCAUGUGAAAGCAGUGUGUGUGGAGAAGGCAACGUGGAUCAUUCAUCUCUGAAUUGCUACAUCAGAGCUGACACUGGACACAAACCGUAUGAGUGUCAGGAACAUGGAGAGAAGCCACAUAAAUGUAAGCAGUGUGUAAAAACCUUCAGCUGCCUCCACUCCUUCCAAACACAUGAAAAGCCUCACACAGGAGAGAAACCCUAUGAUUGUAAGGAAUGGGAAAAAACCUUCGAUUCUCCCCAAACCGUUCGAAGAUACAGGGUAGUGCACAGUGGAGAUGGACCUUAUAAAUGUAAGUUUUGUGGGAAAGCCUUUGAUAAUCUCAGUUUAUAUCUCACACAUGAAAGAUCUCAUACUGGACAGAAGCCAUAUGAAUGUAAUGAAUGUGGGAAAGCCUUUGGUUUUCCCAGCUCCUUUCAUAGACAUGAAAGAAUGCACACCGGGGAGAAACCAUAUGAAUGUAAGCAAUGUGGGAAAACCUUUAGUUGUUCCAGUUCCAUUAAAAAACAUGAAAGAAUCCACACUGGAGAGAAGCCCUAUGAAUGCAAGCAAUGUGGGAAAGCCUUCGCUUCUUCCAAUUCCUUUCAGUAUCAUGAAAGGACUCACACUGGAGAGAAACCCUAUGAAUGUAAGCAAUGUGGGAAAGCCUUUAAUUGUUCCAGUUCCCUUAGAAAACAUGCAAGAAUUCACACUGGAGAGAAACCCUAUAUAUGUAAACAAUGUGGUAAAGCUUUUAGAUUUCCCAGUUCUAUUAAAAAUCAUGAAAAGACUCACACUGGAGAGAAGCCCUAUGAAUGUCAGGAAUGUGGGAAAGCCUUCAGAUAUUCCAGUUCACUUCGAGUACAUAAAAGAAUUCACACUGGAGAGAAGCCGUAUGAAUGUGAGGACUGUGGGAAAGCCUUCAGUCAUCCCACGACCUUUCAUAGACAUAAAAUUACCCACACUGCAGAGAAACCUUAUGAAUGUCAGGAAUGUGGGGAAGCCUUCCGUUAUCCUGUUGCUUUUCGUAGACAUAAAAUUACCCACACUGCAGAGAAACUUUGAGUGUAAGGAAUGUGGGAAAGCCUUCUGUUAUCACAGUUCCCUUCAAAGACAUGAAAGGACUCACAACGGAGAAAAGUUGUGUGGAUAUAAAAAAUGUAAAGCCGGCUGGGUGCGGUGGCUGACGCCUGUAAUCCCAGCACUUUGGGAGGCCAAGGCGGGCGGAUCAUGAGGUCAAGAGAUUGAGACCAUCAUGGCCAACAUGGUAAAACCCCAUCUCUACUAAAAAUACAAAAAUUAGCUGGGCGUGGUGGCAUGUGCCUGUAGUACCAGCUACUUGGGAGGCUGAGGCAGGAGAAUUGCUUGAACCUGGGAGGUGGAGGUUGCAGUGAACCGAGAUUGUGCCACUGUACUCCAGCCAGGUGACAGAGUGAGACUCCGUCUCAAAAAAAAAAAAAAAAAAAGUAAAGCCUUCCACUAUUCCAGUACCUUCUGAAACCAUGAAAGAACUGACACUUGAGAAAAACAAUGAUGUUAGGAACAUGGGAAACCUUUCCUUUCUCUCUCAAUCGUUUGAAGGCAUAUGGUGUGACAUGCUGGCGAUAGACCUCAUAACUGUAAGGAACAUGGAAAACGAUUCUUGUUUUCCAUGCUCCUUGUUUAUUUUAGAUACAUGAAAGAAUUUACUCUGGAGAGAAACUAUGAGUGUAAAAAAUGUGGUAACGCCUUGUGUAGUUUCUGUUUCUCUGAAAUACUGUCAUGUCCUGGUAUUCUCAGGGGAUUAGUUGCAGGCACCCCGCUCCCCACUUCAGAACAUCUAAAUCUGAAGAUGCUCAAGUGCUUUAUAUAAAAUGGUGUAUUUUCCUAGAACCUAAGCACAUCCUCUUGUACACUUUAAAUCAUCUCUAGGUUAUCCAUACUGCCUAAUGCAUUGUAAACGAUAUAAAAAUAGUUGUUUCAUUGUGUUAUUUAGGGAAUGCUGACAAGAAAAAACAUCUGUAGAUGUUUAAUACAGAUAACCAUCACAUGCCCACCUCCAUAGUACAGGCCCACCUCAUAGUAUAUGUCAGCUACAAUGAAACAUUUUCUUUUUUUUUUAAAAAACGUUUUGGAUUGGUUUCAUUUAAUGGCCUCAAAAACACGUGUUAACAUUCUCCAAAUCCUUGGUUCUUCUCUCCUGAUAACCCUCAUGUGAUGAUUGCUCUGUGGUUCCUAAAGCUGCAGUGUGUUGAGGUGCUUAGAUAUGUGGCAGUGUAGAUAAGUCAGGGGACAUCAGUUUAACUUGAAUUUUCUUUUUUUUUUUUUUUGAGAUGGAGUCUUGCUCUGUCACCCAGGCUGGAGUGCAAUGGUGUGAUCUCGGCUCACUGCAACCUCCACCUCCUGGGCUCAAGUGAUUCUCCUGCCUCAGCCUCCCAACCAGCUGGGAUUACAGGUGCCCGCCACCACACCCGGCUAAUUUUUGUAUUUUUAGAAGAGAUGGGGUUUCACCAUGUUGGCCAGGCUGGUCUUGAACUCCUGACGUCGUGAUCUGCCCACCUUGACCUCCCAAAGUGCUGGGACUACAGGAAUGAGCCACCCUGCCCGGCCAGAAUUUUCUUUCAGGACAUCAGGAGGAUCCUCUGCUGGAAGAACCAACAUCUGAUUGCAGAUGUUGCCUCUUUGGUGGAAGAUUGAGACAUCAGAUGGGAGAAAGGCUUGACUAUGUCGCCAGCAGCCUCAUGCCAAAUUCCUGAUUCCUGGAGGACAGAGCCCCCCUCCUGCUCCAAGGCCAGGAGAUGGCGCCACUGGACAGUGAGUCUGGGAUUCCUAGCACACACUUGUGAUUGCUGGUCCAGGAAAAAGAAGCAGGAAGGGCCAUUAGUACAAUCAGUCAGGAAAUUCUGCUUAAGUGCACAUUUCUCCCCAGGAGAGUCGGGUCACUGCACUGGGAGGAAGCCCGCCUGCCAAGGGCUGUGUCUGGAACCUGUUCAUCGCGCUCCACUCAGCACAGUGAGAUCGCCUCUUCUGUUACUCGGUCUCCAGGGGGCGGGACCUGGAGCCGUAUCCAAUCAGGGCCAUGGGGUGGGGUCGUGAGAACUGUGGAUCAGGCGCACUGCAGGGAGGUGGGUGCGCGGCAUCUUCACCCCUCUAAAUGCGGCUCCUACUCUGUAGCUGACAGACACCCACAGACGUGUCUGUAGCAUCCUCUGUCACACUGGGACCCGUACUGGCAGCAGGAGCCGUAGGGAGGACUGGGACACCUGGAAGCCAGGAAUUGGUGAGUGUGCGGGGCUGAGGGUCCCGAGACUAGGAUGGGACUGGUUGGAACCGGCAGGAAUAGACCGUGGCGGGACCCGGGCCUCUUCGUAGUUGACUCUGGGUUCUGAGACCCAAGUCCCCCUGGCGCACCUCGGCCCUGGUUCCUCUCAGGCCGCAGGGUGGGGCUGCGACGGCAGCCGAGACCCCUAGCCGUCCGGUCCAGUCCCUGUGCAACUGACUGUGGCCCCAGGCCCAGCGCCCUCUCUGGUCAGCUCCGCGCCCGCUGCCCCAGUCACGCCCGCUGCCUCCGUGUCUCCCCAGAUUGUACGGGGGCCACUAGAGGGUCAUGGGGGAAAUCCUGCCUCGAGUAUGGGGUUCGUGUGAGAGGAGCUGUAGGCUGUGGGGUCCCCAGUUCCCUCUUUCUCACCAGGGGCUUUUGUAUUUUAUCUGAGUUUCCCAAAUAUACGCGAAGCAGGGUCUCAAAUCCGCGACUGUGGUCCCUAGGCUACCUUCUCCUAAGGCUGGCAGCAAAUUUGGGAUUUCCUGAUCCCUUUCCGCAUUUUAUAACACGGAUUUCCUUUAGUUCACAACAGUAUCACUUCUUCGUCCUCCAGGCUAUGUUUCAAACACAGGCAGUAUUUUAAUCGUCAUUUUUUUAGAGGGCAGUAUAUGGCCGUUUUAAAAAUAUUUGUUUUGUGUUUGUGAACGUUUCAGAGAAAAACCACCUGACACUCCGCUGUAAACAAUCUUUGUGUCUCUUUUUAUCUGCCCUAGGCACAGACACCUUCUGAGAAUGUCUUGGGUUGAGAUUCCCCUUUGGAAACUUUACAGUGAUGCGACCUCAGCCCACCCUCUGCCUUUUCCUGAUCCUGGGUUUCAGGACUACCUGGGGCUGGCCCAAGAUGCCUACAGCUGCCAAGUCUCUUGGGAAAGUCUAGUGAAUAUCAGCCCCUAGGUCGUUCCUCCCAAAGAGCCUGAGGUGUGGCGGUGAGGCCUCCCCAGGGAGCAGCUGGAUGCUAUGGGGUGGGACCAGUCUCCUAUAUCAUUAUUGUAAAAAACUAAUCCCUUGGGACACGCCUUUUCUUCUCCAACCCGUUUCCAUUCCUUGGGGACACAUGGCUAGUCAGCCAAUCAAAUUCUGGUAUGGAGGAAACCAAAUUAUUUCUGUCCUGUAAUCCUAGCACUUUGGGAGGCCAAGGUGGGUGGAUCACCUGAGGUCAGGAGUUCAAGACCAGCCUGGCCAACAUGGUGAAACCCCGACUCUACUAAAAAUCCAAAAAUUAGCUGGGCGUGGUGGUGCACCCUUGUAAUCUCAGCUACUCGUGAGGCUGAGGCAGAAUUGCUAGAACCCGGGAGGUGGAGGUUGCAGUGAGCUGAGAUUGCGCCACUGCACUCCAGCCUGGGCGACAGGGCAAGACUCCGUCUCAAAAAAAAAAAAAAAAAAAGAAGAAAUGAUUUCUGUCCUCUGGAUUCUCUCAGUCUAGUGAAAGAAGAAAACCACCCCCAAUGAGUUGUUGCAAGGACCUGAAAAGCACACAGUUGAGUGUCUUCUGGGAGGGUGGUCACUGAGCACUUCAGGGAGCAGCUUGGAGGUGGGGGGAUGUCCCAAGUGAUAGGAUGAUGUGACCUGACACUUGAGUCAGACACUUGAGUGUUUCAGGUCAGCACUGCCCCUCCCUGGGUUUAUCACCUUGAAAAAAUUGGUUUACUCAUUUCAGCUUCAGGUUUUUUUUUUUUUUUUUGAGACGGAGUUUCACUGUUGUUGCCCAGGCUGGAGUGCAAUGACGCGAUCUCGGUUUGCCGCAACCUCCGCCUCCCAGGUUCAAGUAAUUCUUCUGCCUCAGUCUCCCAGGUAGCUGGGAUUACAGGCAUGUGCCACAAUGCCCACCUAAUUUUGUAUGUUUAGUAGAGAUGGGGUUUCACCAUGUUGGUCAGGCUGGUCUCGAACUCCCGACCUCAGGUGAUCUGCCCACCUCAGCCUCCCAAAGUGCUGGGAUUACAGGCGUGAGCCACCAUGCCCAGCCAUCAGCUUCAGUUUUUUUUUUUUUUUUCUUUUAGGAUUGCUUUUAUGAGCUAGGCAUAUUUGUAUGGGAAGGGGGAAUUUUUUUUUCUUUUUUUAGUAUUUAUUUAUCAUUCUUGGGUGUUUCUCGGAGAGGGGGAUUUGGCAGGGUCAUAGGACAAUAGUGGAGGGAAGGUCGGCAGAUAAACAGUUGUGAACAAGGGUCUCUGGUUUUCCUAGGCAGAGGAUCCUGCGGCCUUCUGCAGUGUUUGUGUUCCUGGGUACUUGAGAUUGGGGAGUGGUGAUGACUCUUAACGAGCAUGCUGCCUUGAAGCAUCUGUUUAACAAAGCGCAUCUUGCACUGCCCUUAAUCCAUUUAAACCUGAGUGGACACAGCACAUGUUUCAGAGAGCACGGGGUUGGGGGUAAGGUUAUAGAUAACAGCAUCCCAAGGCAGAAGAAUUUUUCUUAGUAUAGAACAAAAUGGAGUCUCCUAUGUCUACUACUAUCUACACAGACACAGUAACAAUCUUAUCUUUCUUUUCCCCACAUUUCCCCCUUUUCUAUUCGACAAAACUGCCAUCGUCAUCAUGGCCCGUUCUCAGUGAGCUGUUGGGUACACCUCCCAGACGGGGUGGAGGCCAGGCGGAGGCGCCCCCCCACCUCCCAGACGGGGCGGCUGGCCAGGCGGGGGCUGCCCCCCACCUCCCUUCCUCCUGGACAGGGCAGCUGGCUGGUCGGGGGCUGCCCCCCACCUCCCUCCCGGACGGGGCAGCUGCCGGGCGGAGACCCUCCUCACUUCCCAGACGGGGCAGCUGCCAGGCAGAGGGGCUCCUCACUUUCCCAGACAGGGCAGCUGCUGGGCGGAGGGGCUCCUCACUUCUCAGACGGGGUGGCCAGGCAGAGACGCUCGUCACCUCCCAGACGGGGUGGUGUUCAGGCAGAGACACUCCUCAGUUCCCAGACGGGGUCACGGCCGGGUAGAGGCGCUCCUCACAUCCUAGACAGGGCAGUGGGGCAGAGGCGCUCCCCACAUCUCAGACGAUGGGCGGCAAGGCAGAGACGCUCCUCACUUCCUAGAUGGGAUGGCGCCGGGAAGAGGCGCUCCUCACUUCCCAGACUGGGCGGCAGGGCAGAGGCGCUCCUCACAUCCCAGACCAUGGGCGGCCAGGCAGAGACACUCCUCACUUCCUAGAUGGGAUGGUGGCCGGGAAGAGGCGCUCCUCACUUCCCAGACUGGGCAGCCGGGCAGAGGGGCUCCUCGCAUCCCAGAUGAUGGGCGGCCAGGCAGAGACGCUCCUCACUUCCCAGACGGGGUGGCGGCCGGGCAGAGGCUGCAAUCUCGGCACUUUGGGAGGCCAAGGCAGGCGGCUGGGAGGUGGAGGUUGUAGCAAGCCCAGGUCACGCCACUGCACUCCAGCCUGGGCAAGAUUGAGCACUGCGUGAGCGAGACUCCGUCUGCAAUCCCGGCACCUCGGGAGGCCAAGGCGGGCAGAUCACUCGCGGUCAGGAGCUGGAGACCAGCCCAGCCAACACGGCGAAACCCCGUCUCCACCAAAAAAUACAAAAACCAGUCAGGCGUGGUGGCGCACGCCUGCAAUCCCAGGCACUCGGCAGUCUGAGGCAGGAGAAUGAGGCAGGGAGGUUGCAGUGAGCCGAGAUGGCGGCAGUACAGUCCAGCCUCGGCUCGGCAUCAGAGGGAGACCAUGGAAAGUGGGAGACGAGGGAGAGGCUCAGCAUCAGAGGGAGACCGUGGAAAGUGGGAGACGAGGGAGAGCAGCUUCAGUUUUUUAAUAACUGUAAAAUGCACUAUAUUAUUAGAGAUGGAUGGAGAAGUUAAAGUAUUUCCAAACAUGCCAGAAGAAGGUAGGUUUUGGUAGGUUUUAGGAAAAAAAAAGUCUAGUCUUGUAUUCCCUUAUAAAAAUUCUUAUUUUUCUUCCCAGAGCCUGGGUAGUAAGUUUCUCAGCUCCUUUUUCUAUUGGGUGAUUUCAAAUGGAAUUCUAGGCCUUAGCAUGAAAAUACUACCAGGGAAAAGAAAUAGGGAAAAAAACCUCUCUUCCAUUUUGGUUACAGAAAAAAUGAGUUGUUUUCAAAAGAAAGUGUGGUGGAUUAUACUGGUGAAUUACAAAGAUGUUCCAUAACCUCAGUUCUUCUCCUUCUCAGGUUGAAGAAUUUGUGACCGUGGAUAAGUUCGUUUCCUGUUAUGUGAACUUGGCAGAUUAAUGCUAAAUCCUGUGGGACAGCAUUUAGCAACACCUAAAAAACAUGAUAAAGAAAUACCUGAGACUGGGUAAUUUAUAAAGAAAAGAGGUUGAAUUGGCCCAUGAUUCUGCAGACUGCACAGGAAGCAUGGUACUGGAAGGAUGGCAUCUGCUCAGCUUCUAGGGAGGCCUCAGGAAACUGACAAUCAUGGUGGAAGGCAAAGGGGGAGCAGCAGUUCACACGGCCAGAGAAGGAGCAAGAGAGAGCAGGGCAAGGUGCCACAGACUUUUAAAUGACCGGUUCUCACAAGAACUUACCAUCUCAAGAACAGCACCACAGGGAUAGUGCUAAACCAUUCAUGAAGGACCACCAUCCAGUCACCUCCCACAAGGCCCCACCUUCAAUAUUGGGAAUUACAAUUCGACAUGAGAUUUGGGUGGAGAUUCAAAUCCAAACCAUGUCCUUUUGCUUUUUUCUGUUUUGUUUGUGGAGUAGAUUUUUCUCCAUCCCUUUACUUUGAGCCUAAGGGUGCCAUUGCAUGUGAGAUGGGUCUCUUGAAGACAGCAUACCAUUGGAUCUUGCUUUUUUAUCCAAGUCACCACUGUGCCUUUUAAUUGGGGCAUUUAGCCUGCUUACAUUCAAGGUUAGUAUUUAUAUGUGUAGAUUUGAUCCUAUCAUGUUGUUAGCUGGUUAUUAUGCAGACUUGUUUGUGUGGUUGUUUUAUAGUGUCACUGGUCUAUGUAUUUAAGUGUGCUUUUGUGGUGGCUGGUAAUGGUUUUUUCUUUCCAUAUUUAGCACUCCCUUCAGGACCUCUUGUACAGAUGUUCUCUUUCAUUGUAAUCACACAGGAUGGGCUAUGUCACCCAAAUAACAUGU
rnacentral:lncRNA from 1 species